UACGUAGGGUGCAAGCGUUGUCCGGAAUUAUUGGGCGUAAAGAGCUCGUAGGCGGUUUGUCGCGUCUGCUGUGAAAACUCGGGGCUUAACUCCGGGCCUGCAGUGGGUACGGGCAGACUAGAGUGCGGUAGGGGAGACUGGAAUUCCUGGUGUAGCGGUGAAAUGCGCAGAUAUCAGGAGGAAUACCGGUGGUGAAGACGGCUCUCUGGACCGCCACUGACGCUGAGGAGCGAAAGCGUGGGGAGCGAACAGG
rnacentral:rRNA from 1 species